GACGAACGCUGGCGGCGUGCCUAAUACAUGCAAGUAGAACGCUGAAGAGAGGAGCUUGCUCUUCUUGGAUGAGUUGCGAACGGGUGAGUAACGCGUAGGUAACCUGCCUUGUAGCGGGGGAUAACUAUUGGAAACGAUAGCUAAUACCGCAUAACAAUGGAUGACCCAUGUCAUUUAUUUGAAAGGGGCAAAUGCUCCACUACAAGAUGGACCUGCGUUGUAUUAGCUAGUAGGUGAGGUAACGGCUCACCUAGGCGACGAUACAUAGCCGACCUGAGAGGGUGAUCGGCCACACUGGGACUGAGACACGGCCCAGACUCCUACGGGAGGCAGCAGUAGGGAAUCUUCGGCAAUGGGGGCAACCCUGACCGAGCAACGCCGCGUGAGUGAAGAAGGUCUUCGGAUCGUAAAGCUCUGUUGUAAGUCAAGAACGAGUGUGAGAGUGGAAAGUUCACACUGUGACGGUAGCUUACCAGAAAGGGACGGCUAACUACGUG
rnacentral:rRNA from 1 species